rnacentral:rRNA from 1 species
GACGAACCGUGCGACCGUUGUUCGGAUUCACUGGGCUUAAAGGGCGCGUAGGCGGGUGAUCAAGUCCGGGGUGAAAUCCUUCAGCUCAACUGGAGAAUAGCCUUGGAUACUGGUCGCCUCGAGGGAGGUAGGGGCGGGCGGAACUUCCGGUGGAGCGGUGAAAUGCGUAGAUAUCGGGAGGAACACCAGUGGCGAAGGCGGCUUUCUGGCCUGUUCUUGACGCUGAGGCGCGAAAGCCAGGGGAGCAAACGGG